UACGUAGGGGGCAAGCGUUGUCCGGAAUCAUUGGGCGUAAAGCGCGCGUAGGCGGCCCGGUAAGUCCGCUGUAAAAGUCAAAGGCUCAACCUUUGAAUGCCGGUGGAUACUGUCGGGCUAGAGUCCGGAAGAGGCGAGUGGAAUUCCUGGUGUAGCGGUGGAAUGCGCAGAUAUCGGGAGGAACACCUGUGGCGAAAGCGGCGCACUGGACCACAACUGACGCUGAGGCGCGAAAGCUAGGGGAGCAAACAGG
rnacentral:rRNA from 1 species